rnacentral:rRNA from 1 species
GACAGAGGGUGCAAACGUUGUUCGGAAUUACUGGGCGUAAAGCGCGCGUAGGCGGCUUUGCAAGUUAGAGGUGAAAGCCCGGGGCUCAACUCCGGAAUUGCCUUUAAAGCUGCAUCGCUAGAAUUGUGGAGAGGUAAGUGGAAUUCCGAGUGUAGAGGUGAAAUUCGUAGAUAUUCGGAAGAACACCAGUGGCGAAGGCGGCUCACUGGACCGGUAUUGACGCUGAGGUGCGAAAGCGUGGGGAGCAAACAGG